UACGUAGGUGACAAGCGUUGUCCGGAUUUACUGGGCGUAAAGAGCGCGCAGGCGGUCGUUCAAGUCGCGUGUGAAAGCCCCCGGCUCAACUGGGGAGGGUCACGCGAUACUGAUCGACUCGAAGGCAGGAGAGGGAAGUGGAAUUCCCGGUGUAGUGGUGAAAUGCGUAGAUAUCGGGAGAAACACCAGUGGCGAAGGCGACUUCCUGGCCUGUUCUUGACGCUGAGGCGCGAAAGCUAGGGGAGCAAACGGG
rnacentral:rRNA from 1 species